ACUCUAGAAAGGUCCGUGCCCCAAGAACACCUAUAUAAGCACUGGACUUUGUCCAAUUACCAAGUGUUAUCUGCACCCUCCUGAAACCGUAGGCACGAAUCCUCCAGGAUGCACUCUUCCAUACUGUGGUCACGCCAAUGAAUGCCUUUCAUGAGCUCUGCCGUCCUGUUCUUCUCUCAUUGACAAGAAGAAGACAAGAAGCAAUGAAGACAAGAAAGGAAGAGCAGGAGCAGGGCCUGAGGCUCCUGAGCUCCUGAGCUCUUGAGCUCAGCUGGGUUUAUCCUUCCCUGGAAGGGGAGCCUCUGAGGAGUAGGAAGGAGGCUUCCUCUCAAAGAUGUGUGGUUCCUGGGCUCCCAUGUCUCCAGAUACCCCUUUCCCUCGGGACAGGGUCACACCUCAGAGCUGUAUGGUUCCUUGGUUCCAAGUCACUGAACACCUUCUCAUCCAAGCACAAAGGCCAACAACCAGGUCCACGGGCCCUACAAGAUCCAGAUAUCAUCUGGUAAAGUCUGAGGACCAACUCCCAGGGAUGGGUCAUGCAGAAGUUAAUCCUGAAACUUCAUCCUCCUCAAUACUGGCAGCUAAAAGCCACCAGCCUCCACAGGAGCAUCGGUCUUGUCAAUGGGUCCAGCCAUAUUCCAGAUUUGGAAGGACCUUUACAAGGAUCUGACAAACAGUCCGGGAAGAUCUCUGAGAGAUCUGUACGGGAUCCCAGAGGGUUCCCUAGGCAAAGAUCUAGAGGCUGUCUCUGAGACACAGGUGGACAAUUGCUGUCAGACAGCCAAGAAGUGACUCAACCAAGUCCCCAGCUAGUCUCCCCAAGAAAACAGCAGCUAGAGGGUAUACUGAAAACCACUCAAGCAGCAAGGGGAGCCAUUACAGUGCCACGAAGGUGCCUGUGGGCACUUGCCAAGGAAUUGCUGUGGCCCACACAGUGGUCCCUACUGAAAACUCAGAGACAAGUUCUGAAACCCCAGAGACAAAUAUGGAAAUUCAGAAGCAGUGAUCCUUGAGUGAUGAGGCCACCUGCAAGAAUAUUUCCCAAGGGGCCUUCAUUCCUACAAGAAGAUGCCUUUCGAGUGAGGCAAGAAGAUGGAUCUUGCUCCCCAGAGACCUCAAAAUCCUACAUCUUGUCAACACGAACAGGUCUGUAGCUUUGCCAUUUCCACAGCUUCUGGCUCCCUCUCUGAUCUGCCGGGAUUCUAGAGAUGAUGCCGUUGUCAAAAUGGCUAGUGUCCUGGGAGAGCAUCUUCAGAAAAGUUCAGGAGAGGAAGUGAGGACAAAAAUGGCUUCCGGUAUAUGUAGACUGCUCCCUCUGCCCUCCAGCUCAAAUUCCUGAGAGGGACUCCACCUAAUGACAACAACUGGCCAUCUGAGACACCCAAACUGUCUACAAGGACGAUGUGACGUCCCUGUGCACCACACCCAGCCUUGUGGGCCGAGACUGGCACAGUGAUAGUGCUCUUGGAUCUUGGACAGCUACCCAGAGCCAGGUUCAAGUCUAGUCAAGGGUGGGUAUGAACCCCCGGGAGAGUGAGGGUGUGGCCUCUGGAGAGCUCUGCCAUGGGCUGACAGUUUGGGAGAUCAGUGUGGCAUCCCAGUCACUAAGUAAUAGAGGUACUGGGGACUGGAGGAGGCAGAGGAGGAGCGGGAGCCCUGUGACUGGACACACAACAUGGAAGCCAGGGAGAUGGCAAGUCUCUAACAAGGGGCAGGUGAGCGAUUUAGAAUCGCUGCAGACCAGCAAAAGAUAUUCCCCUUCCAGGACUAUUUUCCAGGGACCAGAAGACUUAUGCCUGAACACAUCUCACUGUGACUCGGCUACCGAUGUCAGUUGUAGGACUGUACCACCGGUAUGUUUUUUUCAAGACGGUGCCUCCAAGGUCCUGCUGGCUACAGGUAUCCCUGCCUCCAGGUCCUCACAAUCUAGCUUCAAGACUGUAUCCUCUUACCAGAGGAUUAUCUUUUCAAGACAGUUGUUCUUCCUGGUCAAGAGCAGGGAAUGUUGACAAGAUUCCCAGACCCCAGGAGCCUUUGAUUUUCCGUUUCCACACCUCGGACUAUCCAAGUCCCAGACAGGAAAUAGUUUCCUGACAGAGAUGAGACCUGCCCAAACCUAUAGGUCCCAGUACUCAUGAAAGCUUCUCUUCCCUAUUU
rnacentral:lncRNA from 1 species